rnacentral:snRNA from 1 species
GGAUGUGAGGACGGUCUGGCUGCGACACGUUGUCACCCUACUGAUGACCAGGGUUGAUUCCGCUGCUCUGGCGGGUGGGCGGGCACGUGUCCUUUUCUCCCUCACGCUGCUUGUGGCUCCCUCCCGAAGUUGCAGGCUACGUGGAAGAGGACGACCGCCCCGAUGCAGAGUAGCUAUGCUCCCUUCCUAGAACCUCUAAACAAGCCCUCAAGAAGUGGAAGGAGGGCCAGGAGGGAGGAGGAGAAGGGGACAUUAAAAAUACACAAGAUGGGUCCUGUACAU